ACCAUUGGUGAAGGGCGAAUGGUUGGACUGGAUGAUCCUGUGGGUCUUUUCCAACCUUAGCAAUUCUAUGAUUCUAUGAAAUGGCGAGGAAGUGUGGGUGACAGGACAAAUGGCCACAAUUUUGAAAUGAACCUCAGGGAGAGGACAUAAAGGCAGUGCAAAGGUAACCAUAACCAUGUCCCUUUAAUGCCUUGGGCGCUGCAGGUUUUUCCCUCAUGGCCUUCCAGGAGCUCCCAUGCCCUUGCAUGCUCACAAUAAUCCCACACAAAGGGCAGUCAUUGAGGCGCUGUGAGCAUGGAGGGCUCUGCCUCCUCCAGCCAGGCUGAAGGGAAGGGAGUAGGGAAGGAUCACGUGCUGAUACAGGGGAAGCGAAGAAAAACAGAGGGAAAGAGAUGUGAAACCUGAUCCAUCUAAUAACAUCAAGACUGAUAGUGAUUUUCCACUCUAUCUAGCAGGUUUAGAGGUCAGAGUUUCCCUCCACAGCAUUCUUCUCUUGACAAAUGAUCGUUGCAGCAACUAGACAGGUCUGAGAUAAACCAGCAAACAUACUAAUGAAGACAAGAACUGUCCUGAGGAAAUACCUCCUAUUAGUUAAUAAGCAGACACAGUGGUCUGGAUUAGGAAGGAACAUGACAACAUUGUUGAAAAUGAAGAUGUGUAUCCUCAGUGAAGCCAAUGAGUCCACAGAAGCCAGGACUGUGUAACCUGCUGCUGCACAUCAGGAUUCCAGAAGAGGAAAUGAACACUACGAAUAGUGAGAGCAAUAAUACACAAGGGGCCUACUUUACUGCUAUUGUUUCUUCUUCUGUAAUACCCCUGGUGAGUUUUCAGAGAUGGCAGGGAGCAAGUGCAACCAUAGUGCAAGUGAAAUUACCAUCCUUACUAUUGACCAAUGAUAGGAGAAAACCUCACAUCAAGAAUGUGCUCAAGUCAUCCAAGAUCAAAUGAAGACUAUCAGAUGAAUAGUUAUUACACUCCUCCCAGGAGCAAAUGAGAGAUGGGAACCCUCAGGAUGGGCAGAGCCAUCCAUGCUGAACACUUGCUGUCUCCAGCCUUGCACAAAAUUAAUGUUACAGACGGAUACCUAUGUUUCUAAAGCCUCGAUGCUGCUAUACUUUAAUAUCUUGAACUAAAUUAAUGGGUGAGACAGCAAAAACAGCCCAACAUCCUUCUUUCCCUUUCUUCUUCCUCUCAAAAAAACACUUAUUUUGGAGUGAAAUAAGAUUAAAACUUGUGUUUCAGUGGAGCUUACCUGAAGCAAGAACAUAUUAGAACUUCUCCAGAAUAAUAUUUCCAUCUUAAGACAUCUAAAAUUGUUAAUUAUUGGACAUUAAUAGCCGGAAAUAUUGCAACAUAAAAUUGUUAAAAGUCAAAGUUAUGUCAACAAUAAUUACUUUGCUGUCCAGGUAUUAUUCAAGCUUACCAGAAACCUCAAUAAACAAAUAAAAACCACAGAUCUUGAUGACUUUUUGUCUUUUCUCCCAACAUCUUCC